GACGAACGCUGGCGGCGUGCUUAACACAUGCAAGUGGAGCGACGAACCAGGGCUUGCCCUGGGGCAGAGCCGCGAACGGGUGAGUAACACGUGGGUUACCUGCCCCGAUGACCGGGACAACCCGAGGAAACUCGAGCUAAUACCGGAUGUGGUCUUCGGACGAAAGGAAGCUUCGGCCUCCUCCUCGGGAUGGGCCCGCGGCGCAUUAGCUUGUUGGUGGGGUAAAGGCCUACCAAGGCGACGAUGCGUAGCUGGUCUGAGAGGACGAUCAGCCACACUGGGACUGAGACACGGCCCAGACUCCUACGGGAGGCAGCAGUGGGGAAUCUUGCGCAAUGCGCGAAAGCGUGACGCAGCAACGCCGCGUGAGGGAAGACGGCCUUCGGGUUGUAAACCUCUUUCAGUUGGGACGAAGCUUCAGCCGUUAAUAGCGGCUUGGAGUGACGGUACCUUCAGAAGAAGCCCCGGCUAACUACGUGCCAGCAGCCGCGGUAACAC
rnacentral:rRNA from 1 species